GCAUCCGACUCAUAGAUAUGUGACCUAUGGUAGAAAUGCCAUAUGGAAAACUGGAUGAAUUCAGGGGAACCUCAGCGCGUUAAGGCGGUGGCAAUCCUGAGCCAAGCCUACCAAGCGUGGUAGGAAGGUGCAGAGACUAGGUGGAGCAGCACGAACUUGCUGCGUAAUACAUCAGUAGCGUCCGGCACCCUCACAGGUAAAGCUGCGGGUGAUGAUAUAGUCCAGGCCAUGGUGAAAACCAUGG
rnacentral:ncRNA from 1 species